rnacentral:rRNA from 1 species
GGGGGGGGGGGGGGGGGGGGGGGGGGGGGGGGGGGCGGGGGGGGGCACGGGGAGGGGGGGGUGUGGGGGGGGGCGGGUGGCGGACGGUGGGGGAGUACGUGGGACUCUGCUGUGUAGUGAGGGAGAGCAGGGGGCAACUUGGGGUAGUACGGCAUACGGGCUACGGGUGGAAGCGGGGGAGCUUCGUAAUUUGCGCGAUGGCUUGAGACGAUGUCGGAUGAGCUAGUUGGCGGGGUAAAGGCCCACCAAGGCGACGAUCCGUAGCUGGUCUGAGAGGUGGAUCAGCCACACUGGAACUGAGACACGGUCCAGACUCCUACGGGAGGCAGCAGUGGGGAAUAUUGGACAAUGGGCGCAAGCCUGAUCCAGCCAUACCGCGUGGGUGAAGAAGGCCUUCGGGUUGUAAAGCCCUUUUGUUGGGAAAGAAAAGCAGCAGGUUAAUACCCCGCUGUUCUGACGGUACCCAAAGAAUAAGCACCGGCUAACUUCGUG